rnacentral:lncRNA from 12 species
AGCAUUUUUUUUUAUUUGUAUUUUUUGGUAUCCAGGGUACCUCUGAGUAGUAGAUUUUUGAUCUUUAGCCCAUCCUCAAAACUGAAAACCAACUCUCCAUUUCUCCAGGGUUUACCUUUUCAUCACUUGAAGACCAGUGGUUAUAUGAUUUGGACCCACUGAGGAAGGUAGAAUGAUAUCAGUUCAAAAGUAUUGGAUACCUGUGGAGCACUUUGCAAGAUAUUGCAGGAUUUUCUGGGCUUUCUAUAGAACUACACAGAAGUAUUGCUGAGUACUUUGCAAUAUGAAUUCCUGCAAUUUGCAGGAAUUUGUCAUGCUUUUCAGGUGAUCAUACUAGGCACCUUAAGCCACACUACGAAAGUUGACUGUUACCUUAAGACCCUGGAGACCAUGGCCCUGUGAUCGUGCCAGGGAUGGAGGAGACACACUGUGCGCUGUGUGUUGUGAAGCUGAAGUGUCCACAAAAGACUGCAAAACAUUUCUACGGGGCAGUGUGAUCAUGGUGAAGACAGCAGUAAGAUCUUAUAUAACAGAAGACAGAAAAAGACAGAGAGUCACGUGGAGAUGCACACACAUAUUAGUGAGAGAACACAAAAACAAUCCUGUCAAAAGAUGA